rnacentral:lncRNA from 1 species
AAUGUUCCUAAGGGUUCGUUCUAUUUCAGGGUCAAAAGGUAAUAGGUUUUGUACUCUAGAACGACUACCGUGCAUACACUAGUACUCGAUUAAUCAAGCAUGCAAUAAAAGAGAAAAGCAUAUCAAUCCUAGUCUUUGUCCUAAAAUCACUAGACAGCUCCUAACUGGUUUGAAGAGGGCACCUAAGCCUCCAAUCCGGUCUAAUGAACCGAGUUGACCAGGUAAGCUCCCAGGUAAGUGGAGGGGUCACGAUGC